rnacentral:rRNA from 1 species
AUUGAACGCUGGCGGAAUGCUUUACACAUGCAAGUCGAACGGCAGCACGGACUUCGGUCUGGUGGCGAGUGGCGAACGGGUGAGUAAUGUAUCGGAACGUGCCCAGUCGUGGGGGAUAACGUAGUGAAAAUUACGCUAAUACCGCAUACGCUCUAUGGAUGAAAGCGGGGGAUCGCAAGACCUCGCGCGAUUGGAGCGGCCGAUAUCAGAUUAGGUAGUUGGUGGGGUAAAGGCCCACCAAGCCAACGAUCUGUAGCUGGUCUGAGAGGACGAACAGCCACACUGGAACUGAGACACGGUCCAGACUCCUACGGGAGGCAGCAGUGGGGAAUUUUGGACAAGGGUCGAAGGCCUGAUCCAGCCAUUCCGCGUGCAGGAUGAAGGCCCUCGGGUUGUAAACUGCUUUUGUACAGAACGAAAAGGUUUCUACUAAUACUAGGAGCUCAUGACGGUACUGUAAGAAUAAGCACCGGCUAACUACGUGCCAGCAGCCGCCGUAA